rnacentral:rRNA from 1 species
AGAACGAACGCUGGCGGCAGGCCUCAAACAUGCAAGUCUAGGGGGUGUAGCAAUACAUCACCGGCGGACGGGUGCGUAACGCGUGGGAAUAUACCUAUUGGUUCGGAACAACUGAGGGAAACUUCAGCUAAAUACCGAAUAAGUCCUUACGGAGAAAGAUUUAUCGCCAAUAGAUUAGCCCGCGUUCGAUUAGCUAGUUGGUGGGGUAACGGCCCACCAAGGCGACGAUCGAUAGCUGUUCUGAGAGGAAGAUCAGCCACACUGGGACUGAGACACGGCCCAGACUCCUACGGGAGGCAGCAGUUGGGAAUCUUGGACAAUGGGGGCAACCCUGAUCCAGCCAUGCCGCGUGGGUGAAGAAGGCCUCGGUUGUAAGCCCUUUGUACGGGAGAAAGCGUGCGGUUAAUAACCGUACGUGCUGACGGUACCGUAAGAAUAAGCACCGGCUAACUUCGUGCCAGCAGCCGC